rnacentral:lncRNA from 1 species
ACAAGGGAAUUCACAAUUUUUAAUGCAAUAAUGGACUAGUAACUAGCAGAUGAAUGCAAACAGGGGUGCGGAUCAACAUAGAAGCCCUGCAAUUGAGAGGAAACAAAAACUAUAUUACAGUCACUUUAAGAUCUUUUUACAAGUUAUCACGUAUCUAGAUGCUCCAAGCAUCUCCCAAACUCUGAAGUGUUGCACCCCCUUGAAAAGAGUGCAUAUCACUGUGAGAUCCAGGUCCUCCCUCCGGUCGCCUUGUGGACCCCUUCUCUCACCUUUCAAGGCUCCAGGGGAUUUACAGAAUGGACUCAAUUAAGUUUGAAUUUCCAGAGUUUGGAAAAGGUCCAGAGUGACUAGUUAACUAAACAUUAUAAGCCAGAGGCCCCAACCUGCUUUCCACAAGUCAGGAAGGUAACCUGGUUCCAUCUUAACAUAAGCUCAACCAAACACAACCUAACAAUCUAAAUGUGCAAUGUCAUCGGUGAAUAAUCCUCUAAAGAACUAUUUGAGAGAGCAUUACCAUUUCUGACUUCAAUACCUGCCUACUCCAAGAGCUUCAUUUCCAUCUACUAUUAUCACAAAGUGAGCCAGGAAGUUUGAACAUUCAUGUGGAACAGACACUAAUUUGAAAUAUCAGAAAGUCGUCUUACCCGUAUUCAGCUUUUCUCAACUUCUUGGAUAGUAUCUUCACUGAACCCUUGAACUUGAGUUGCAGGUUCGGCUAACAAAAAUAAAGAAUAACUCAGUGUAGAAAAAGGAAAUACAUGCACGUCACACACAAUAAGAAUUAUCUCAUGAUAUUUAAAGGACAUAGAAAGCAACAUAUCCUCGCAGGAAAAUAAUAUUUUUACAAUUUAAAGUAGGAACCAAUCUUUUAUCCCCUCCCAGAUGACAAAAAAUCAACCAACAAUUGCCCCUUUCUAAGAUUCCGAUGGUAAAAUAUAUCUUCCCGCAGCAGCGAAAGAAAAGCCAAAAUAAGUUUGGGUUGAUGAGUCGAAUAUUUUUAUCUAAACCUCCUUUCACAAUCACAAAGCCUAUUGUGAGAUUGUCAUAUUUUCCAACAAAAGUAUUCCCUAAAAUGUAAAAAAAAAUACCCCUUUAAACAGCAAAAUGUCCCAACUUGAAUUACUCGUCAGUGACAUCAAUAAAUGAAAACAUACCUAUAACCGUUUGAUAAAUCCCAUAGAAUCACCUUUAAGAUUUGUUCCUAGUUACACCACCUCAUCACCAAUAUCUAGCUUAGCUCUAUCAAAUUAAUGAGAGUGAGAACCAACAGGGAACAACCGACAAGUGGAGCAAUUUUCUACUUCAAAAGUCCAAAGUCAAUCUGGCACUUCUUUAUAAGUCAGCCGUUUGGUAAAUAGUGCCAAAGAACUGUGCAUAAAGU